UGCAAGUCGAGCGGACAGAAGGGAGCUUGCUCCCGGAUGUUAGCGGCGGACGGGUGAGUAACACGUGGGUAACCUGCCUGUAAGACUGGGAUAACUCCGGGAAACCGGAGCUAAUACCGGAUAGUUCCUUGAACCGCAUGGUUCAAGGAUGAAAGACGGUUUCGGCUGUCACUUACAGAUGGACCCGCGGCGCAUUAGCUAGUUGGUGGGGUAAUGGCUCACCAAGGCGACGAUGCGUAGCCGACCUGAGAGGGUGAUCGGCCACACUGGGACUGAGACACGGCCCAGACUCCUACGGGAGGCAGCAGUAGGGAAUCUUCCGCAAUGGACGAAAGUCUGACGGAGCAACGCCGCGUGAGUGAUGAAGGUUUUCGGAUCGUAAAGCUCUGUUGUUAGGGAAGAACAAGUGCGAGAGUAACUGCUCGCACCUUGACGGUACCUAACCAGAAAGCCACGGCUAACUACGUGCCAGCAGCCGCGGUAAUACGUAGGUGGCAAGCGUUGUCCGGAAUUAUUGGGCGUAAAGGGCUCGCAGGCGGUUUCUUAAGUCUGAUGUGAAAGCCCCCGGCUCACCCGGGGAGGGUCAUUGGAAACUGGGAAACUUGAGUGCAGAAGAGGAGAGUGGAAUUCCACGUGUAGCGGUGAAAUGCGUAGAGAUGUGGAGGAACACCAGUGGCGAAGGCGACUCUCUGGUCUGUAACUGACGCUGAAGGAGCGAAAGCGUGGGGGAGCGAACAGGAUUAGAUACCCUGGUAGUCCACGCCGUAAACGAUGAGUGCUAAGUGUUUA
rnacentral:rRNA from 1 species